UACCAGCACCCCGAGUGGUCGGGACGAUUAUUGGGCCUAAAGCAUCCGUAGCCGGUCCUGCAAGUCUUCCGUUAAAUCCAGCUGCUCAACAGAUGGGCUGCGGGAGAUACUACAGGGCUAGGAGGCGGGAGAGGCAAGCGGUACUUUAUGGGUAGGGGUAAAAUCCGCUGAUCCAUAGAAGACCACCAGUGGCGAAGGCGGCUUGCCAGAACGCGCUCGACGGUGAGGGAUGAAAGCGGGGGGAGCAAACCGG
rnacentral:rRNA from 1 species